CUUGGAGACACCUGCACCCCUUCAGGUGAAAUGCAAGGGGUUUACCCGCCUCAAAUAACCCAGUGCUUGCGGUACCAGAGGCUCCCACGAGGUGGCGAUGACGCUCCGGGAUUUCUUCAUUGCAGUCUCACAGCAUAAUAAAGGCUGCCUGUGCCGGGGUCUUGGGGACUCCCGUCCCAGAACAGUUGAGGUCGUUGAUUCCCCUCGUUGGCUUCCUUUCUUCACUUUCCUGGCAUUUGCAAACCUUGUGACUUCAGGAUGUCAGGACUUAAUUUGGAUGGGGGGGUGCGGGUGAGUCCGGGAAGAGCACCAUCGUCAAGCAGAUG
rnacentral:sRNA from 1 species